AUUGAACGCUGGCGGCAUGCUUUACACAUGCAAGUCGAACGGUAACAGGCCGCAAGGUGCUGACGAGUGGCGAACGGGUGAGUAAUGCAUCGGAACAUGCCCAGUCGUGGGGGAUAACUACUCGAAAGAGUAGCUAAUACCGCAUACGAUCUAUGGAUGAAAGCGGGGGACCGUAAGGCCUCGCGCGAUUGGAGCGGCCGAUGUCAGAUUAGGUAGUUGGUGGGGUAAAGGCUCACCAAGCCAACGAUCUGUAGCUGGUCUGAGAGGACAACCAGCCACACUGGGACUGAGACACGGCCCAGACUCCUACGGGAGGCAGCAGUGGGGAAUUUUGGACAAUGGGCGCAAGCCUGAUCCAGCAAUGCCGCGUGCAGGAAGAAGGCCUUCGGGUUGUAAACUGCUUUUGUACGGAACGAAACGGCUCUGGUUAAUACCCGGGGCUAAUGACGGUACCGUAAGAAUAAGCACCGGCUAACUACGUG
rnacentral:rRNA from 1 species